CCCUAAUCAGAUGUGGCCUGAUGAGGAAGAAAAGGCGAUUUCUAGGCAAAAGAAACAGAUAAGGGAAAGCUUAUAGGGAAAAUCCAAGUGAACUGAACAGCCGCAAUACGCAGGAGUGACGUAAACAUGACUUCAGCAAUGACGUCCGCAUUCGAAAUGCUGUAGUGGAGACUGAUGCACGAAGAAAGAAGAAGACGGAGAAGAAGAGGAAGGGUACCAUAAUUUCCACUUUACUGCAACAUUAAAAAUAAAAGAAUUGGGAGUUGAGCAAAAAAUUCAUUUUUGCAUCAUGUAGAUUUACAUGAAAUUUACAUGUUCUGGUUGAGAAGAGGUUUUCUGUAGCUUUUCCUAGAUAUAUUUGGGGAAUUACAUUAUUUAAUUUUAGCCCAUGCAUUUCACAAAAGACCUCUAAAUACCAACAUUAUGAUGCCUCAUCAAUAAAAACCAUCAAUAUUAUUGAGAAACACAGUAUAACAGAGCGCAAACAGGAAGCUCAUGCAGUGAGAAUGAAUGGCAUUACUAAACAAGAAACCCGAUUUAACAA